CCUACGGGUGGCAGCAGUCGAGAAUCAUUCACAAUGGGGGAAACCCUGAUGGUGCGACGCCGCGUGGGGGAAUGAAGGUCUUCGGAUUGUAAACCCCUGUCAUGUGGGAGCAAAUUAAAAAGAUAGUACCACAAGAGGAAGAGACGGCUAACUCUGUGCCAGCAGCCGCGGUAAUACAGAGGUCUCAAGCGUUGUUCGGAAUCACUGGGCGUAAAGCGUGCGUAGGCUGUUUCGUAAGUCGUGUGUGAAAGGCGCGGACUCAACCCGCGGACGGCACAUGAUACUGCGAGACUAGAGUAAUGGAGGGGGAACCGGAAUUCUCGGUGUAGCAGUGAAAUGCGUAGAGAUCGAGAGGAACACUCGUGGCGAAGGCGGGUUCCUGGACAUUAACUGACGCUGAGGCACGAAGGCCAGGGGAGCGAAAGGGAUUAGAUACCCUGGUAGUC
rnacentral:rRNA from 1 species